rnacentral:lncRNA from 1 species
UGGAACAUGGAUUUUGCUAGAUUUUCGGUAGAAAUGAGAAUGAGCUCACGGGUAUUUAUCUCCUAGUCAUUUACGCUGCAACANUUAACUAUUCCNUUUCCUUUUUAUUAUUUUUUCCUUGCUUUUAAUUAAUAAGGAACUGCUCACNGUCACAUCUAGCAUUGGUGCACAUGUCACGGACUGAAGAUAGUUGUUAAUUUCCAUUUGAAGAGUUCAAUUCAUUUACUUGGCUUUGAGUGAUGCUGUCACGUGAUGUUCUAAUGGAAGCUUAAAAGGGAUUUACAAUAUUUACAAUGCUUUUCUUGGUCCAGUACACUUGAUUCCAUCGGAAUUUGCAAUGUUCUUUUUAGUUUCAUUGAAUGAAAUUGGUGGUGGG